UACGUAGGUGGCAAGCGUUAUCCGGAUUUACUGGGUGUAAAGGGCGAGUAGGCGGGAUUGCAAGUCAGAUGUGAAAACUAUGGGCUCAACCGAUAGAGUGCAUUUGAAACUGCAGUUCUUGAGUGAUGGAGAGGCAGGCGGAAUUCCCGGUGUAGCGGUGAAAUGCAUAGAUAUCACACAGAACACCGAUUGCGAAGGCAUCUGACGAAUCGGAGAUUGACGCUGAUGCACGAAAGCGUGGGUAUCGAACAGG
rnacentral:rRNA from 1 species